rnacentral:lncRNA from 1 species
UUGAUCCUGAUUCUUCCUAUGUUGCUCUCAGAGAGAGGGCAUAUUAGAGACGUGAUAAGACGCCGAGUGGGUGCAUUCAAUCUCUCAAGGCCAAAGACGAGCUAGAGCUCUGCUUCGCCUGUGGUUGUGCUGUUUCGACUUCUGGGUCCAGCAAUGCUUUAACAGUUGUUCUUCAUCCAUUAGUCUUGGCUUGUUUGCAGGUUGUUGUGGUUUGGAGCUUAGGCAAACUAGCCACACAAUUCAGCUACCAGCUUUAGGGUUGCAUGCGGAGGAGAUCCCUGGUUUUGCUUCUCCAUAUGGAUGGCAGAUAAAUUCCAUCACGUAUAAUCUGUAACUUUUUCUUAGUUCAGCCAUGGAGUGCUAGGGUCUGAAUGUUUUGGGCUUGAUCUCUUCCUCUGUGGGGCCUAUUAUUUAUAUCUUGAACCUUUUGUACUGGCCCUUGAUUAUGUGUUGUAAACCUGGCCACUUUAAUGAAAUCAUAUUUAACUUGGGCUAAAAAUUAAAAGAAAGCUAUGAAUAUUGAAUACAAAAUUUGAAGCCAGGUUAUUGCCACCGCUGUACAGUCUUGGCUUUCUGGAAAAAUUUGGCCUUGUAAGGUUUCUUUUGGCAGCCAGUUGUUUUUAACUUGUUAUCUUUGGAUUUGCCUCUAAAGAAGUUUCUUCUUGCUCACGGUGCUCUCCUCACCCUUCUUGUUCUCAGCGAUGAUGGUUUUGGGACGGUAUGGGUGUGGG